rnacentral:rRNA from 1 species
AUUGAACGCUGGCGGCAGGCUUAACACAUGCAAGUCGAGCGGGGUGAUGGUGCUUGCACUAUCACUUAGCGGCGGACGGGUGAGUAAGGCUUAGGAAUCUGCCUAUUAGUGGGGGACAACAUCUCGAAAGGGAUGCUAAUACCGCAUACGUCCUACGGGAGAAAGCAGGGGAUCACUUGUGACCUUGCGCUAAUAGAUGAGCCUGAGUGGGGUGAGCUAGUUGGUGGGGUAAAGGCCUACCAAGGCGACGAUCUGGAGCGGGUCUGAGAGGAUGAUCCGCCACACUGGGACUGAGACACGGCCCAGACUCCUACGGGAGGCAGCAGUGGGGAAUAUUGGACAAUGGGGGGAACCCUGAUCCAGCCAUGCCGCGUGUGUGAAGAAGGCCUUAUGGUUGUAAAGCACUUUAAGCGAGGAGGAGGCUCUUUUGGUUAAUACCCAGAAUGAGUGGACGUUACUCGCAGAAUAAGCACCGGCUAACUCUGUGCCAGCCGCCGCGGUAA